CCUACGGGUGGCAGCAGUGAGGAAUAUUGGUCAAUGGCCGAGAGGCUGAACCAGCCAAGUCGCGUGAGGGAAGACGGCCCUACGGGUUGUAAACCUCUUUUGUCGGGGAGCAAAGCGAACCACGUGUGGUUCAUUGAGAGUACCCGAAGAAAAAGCAUCGGCUAACUCCGUGCCAGCAGCCGCGGUAAUACGGAGGAUGCGAGCGUUAUCCGGAAUCAUUGGGCGUAAAGCGUUCGUAGGCGGCAAGGUAAGUCUGAUGUUAAAGCCCGGGGCUCAACUCCGGUUCGGCAUUGGAUACUAUCUAGCUAGAAUGUGGUAGAGGUAAAGGGAAUUCCUGGUGUAGCGGUGAAAUGCGUAGAUAUCAGGAGGAACAUCGGUGGCGAAAGCGCUUUACUGGACCAUUAUUGACGCUGAGGAACGAAAGCCAGGGGAGCAAAUGGGAUUAGAUACCCUUGUAGUC
rnacentral:rRNA from 1 species